rnacentral:rRNA from 1 species
ACUCAAAGGAAUUGACGGGGGCCCGCACAAGCAGUGGAGUAUGUGGUUUAAUUCGAAGCAACGCGAAGAACCUUACCAGGGCUUGACAUCCCUCUGCCCGUCUUAGAGAUAAGACUUUUCUUCGGAACGGAGGAGACAGGUGGUGCAUGGUUGUCGUCAGCUCGUGUCGUGAGAUGUUGGGUUAAGUCCCGCAACGAGCGCAACCCCUGUUGUUAGUUGCCAUCAUUAAGUUGGGCACUCUAGCGAGACUGCCGGUGACAAAUCGGAGGAAGGUGGGGACGACGUCAAAUCAUCAUGCCCCUUAUGUCCUGGGCUACACACGUACUACAAUGGCGAUCACAAAGGGAAGCAAAGUCGCGAGGCGGAGCAAAUCCCCAAAAAUCGUCCCAGUUCAGAUUGCAGGCUGCAACUCGCCUGCAUGAAGUAGGAAUUGCUAGUAAUGGCAGGUCAGCAUACUGCCGUGAAUACGUUCCCGGGCCUUGCACACACCGCCCGU